rnacentral:tRNA from 1 species
GGUGUUGUGGCUCAGUGGUACAGCACUUACCAAGUACGCAUGAGGCACAGGGUUCAAUCCCAGCACCA